rnacentral:rRNA from 1 species
GACGAACGCUGGCGGCGUGCUUAACACAUGCAAGUCGAACGGAAAGGCCCUGCUUUUGUGGGGUGCUCGAGUGGCGAACGGGUGAGUAACACGUGAGUAACCUGCCCUUGACUUUGGGAUAACUUCAGGAAACUGGGGCUAAUACCGGAUAGGAGCUCCUGCUGCAUGGUGGGGGUUGGAAAGUUUCGGCGGUUGGGGAUGGACUCGCGGCUUAUCAGCUUGUUGGUGGGGUAGUGGCUUACCAAGGCUUUGACGGGUAGCCGGCCUGGGAGGGUGGCCGGCCACAUUGGGACUGAGAUACGGCGCAGACUCCUACGGGAGGCAGCAGUGGGGAAUAUUGCACAAUGGGCGGACGCCUGAUGCAGCAACGCCGCGUGCGGGAUGACGGCCUUCGGGUUGUAAACCGCUUUCGCCUGUGACGAAGCGUGAGUGACGGUAAUGGGUAAAGAAGCACCGGCUAACUACGUG